AAACGUAGGACGCAAGCGUUUAUCCGGAGUUACUGGGCGUAAAGCGCGGGCAGGCGGUCGGUCAAGUGGGAUGUGAAAGCGCCCCGGCUAAACCGGGCGAGGCCAUUCCAAACUGGCCGACUGGAGGGCAGUAGAGGUGGGUGGAAUUCCGGGUGGAGUGGUGAAAUGCGUAGAGAUCCGGAGGAACACCAGAGGCGAAGGCGGCCCACUGGGCUGCACCUGACGCUGAACCGCGAAAGCCAGGGGAGCGAACGGG
rnacentral:rRNA from 1 species